UUACUGUCCAGUUUCAAGACUUCUACGCAGCGAUAAUGUGGAGUUCUUCUUCUGUUAUCUCUCCCUCCUUCGUUUUAUGUGCGUUUCUCAGCAUUUCUGAACUAGGAAAUAACUUUCUCAACCAGUGACUCGUUUUCCGUGUGCCUUAUUAAAAUUAAGGGAUCACAACAGGAAAUUAUGCCAGAUGGCAUGGUGAGGUCAACCAUGAUUACUUUAUGAUCAGUUUCUCAAUGAAUACUGGAAUAUGGAGUUCGCAGACAAGAAGUUGGUCAUAAAACCACUCUAAGUCCUGGCUGUCGUCGGGCCACAGAAGAUAUGUUCUGUUCUCAAUGUAGGAUCUCACUUGCUUGUACUUCAUUAACCUGUACUGCGGUAUGUUCCCUACAACCAGCACCA